CAAAACAUGCUUCAGACGAGGUCUACCUUGGACAGAGGGACAAUCCAAAUUGGACCUCUAACCGAAGGGCAAUAGAAGCCUUUAAAAGGUUUGGAGAAAAGCUAUCAGAGAUUGAGAAAAAUAUCUCAGAAAGGAACCAUGAUCCAAAUCUUAAAAAUCGAACUGGACCAGCUCAUUUGCCUUACACUGUGCUUCUUCCCACCAGUGAAAAGGGAUUGACUUUUAGAGGAAUUCCAAACAGUGUCUCUAUCUAAAUUUCUACAUGGUGGCUCCCUCUAGCAGUGUACUUGCAUUACGUAUUUGUUUUUUUUUUAAGAGUUUUCAUGUUAGAUAUUAUUGUAUUACGUAUUUGUUUAAGAAAUAUUGCAUUUAGUGGUUGUGGUUUUCUUAUUGGACUUUUUUACUAGUCUUGCUGAGUUACAUAUGUAUCAGACCUUCUAUGCUGAUCUUUGGCAUGCCUUAUGUUGAAGUUAAGCUCUUCUUUUAGUAAUAAAAGCAUUUUCUUGUUAAGAAAACUUGAAUUAUAUGUUACUCUCAUAUUUUUUUUAGCUGAGUUCUAUUCUUCUAUAUUGAUCAUUCUAAUCUUUGCAGCUACAGUGGGUGGCAACCGGCAAAACUCAUUUCGUGUGAUAACUUAUAAAUGCAAAACGUUUUUGAAGACAACAGAAAGAAAGCUAUUGGAAAAAAAAAAUCUAUGUUUUCCUUUAGAAGAAGAUAUUUGUUUGUACAAAGCCAAAUCCUAUUGAUACCUUUCCCUACAAGAAAAUCAUUAAAUAAAAAUUAAUUUUAGAGACAAAAAAUAAUUAAUUGGUAUAGUAAUAAAAUUAGAGAUUAAAAAUUAUUUUUUUUUAAAUUAAUUUUUAUUAUUAAUAAAUAGAUUCUAAAUUGGUAUCUAAUUAAUUACCAAAGUUUUUCUACCAAAUUUAGAAUCUAAAUAAUUGGUAGUUACUAGCUAAUUAAAUACUAAUUUAUAAAUUAUAUAUCUAUAAUAAAAACUAAUUUAGAAAUCAAUAAUUUUUUCACUCUAAAAUGAUUUCUAAUUUAGUCAUUAUAGUAAUUAAUUAUUUUUUAUUUUUAAAAUUAAUUUUUAUUUAAUGAUUUUUUUUUAGUAUUUGUUUUGCCACAUAACUUUAGGUGAAAAGAUUAUUACAUGGUCUCACAUAAUCAUAGUCAAGAUUUUGAACGAGAGAUUAAUUUUAUGAACAGGUGGUGUGGCCUCAGACCAUUGAUUAAUUUUAGGUGCUAUUGUAGUUUCAAAUGUUGUGUGGUGUUAAAACUGUGUUGCUGAUAGCAUAACAAAAUAGUGCAUAUGGUACAAAAGGAUACACUGGAACACCAUGAGAGUUGGUCACAAAAACCAUUAUCACAUAAGAAUUAAGUAAAUAAAUAAGGAUAAGUAUCUCAAUCCAUUUACAAAUAAAAGAUAGAUGUAAAUCUUAAAUCUGUCUAACAACUUAUAUUUUAUUAUGUUAAAAGAGAAUAACUUAUAGAAAGAUAAGGAAAUUGGGAGAAAUUUGAGUGUUUAUUGAAGAAUUAAAUUAGGUAUUAUAUAAUGUUACUGAAUAAACUGAAAAGAAGAAAUAAGAAGCUUUGUGAUGGAAGAACUAAGGCAGCAACCAACCACACACAAAACGAUAUCCAAAUAUAUAUUAUGAAAAAUGGUUCCAAUAAAUAAUUUAAAAAGACUGUUAUUGUUUUAUAUUUUUCCACUGAUUUUUCGUGUACCAUGAAUAAUCUUCAACUCAACCUUCCACUCAUCACUCAUUUAAUUGCACCUUCCUGCUAUGUGCCAAAUUGCCAUAGAAUAUAUAUAUAUAUAUAUAUAUAUAUAUUCUAUUUUUACUUUAAAAUUCAUUAUAUAAUUUAAUCAAUAAAUUUUAAAUAAACAACUUAUUAACUAUUUUAAUUCAAUAACUAUUACAUAAAGUUUUAAAAAAAUUAUAACAAAAAAUUAGAAAAAAAAACAAUCUAAUUGACAAAGCAUCAUGUCAAGCAACAAAUUCGAAAUCACUUGAAUUUCGAAAUUCAUUAGUUUGAAAGUUAAUCUUUGCUUCAAAAACAAUUUUAUCACAUUUUUUAAAGUCAUUUAAUAUAUAUAAAUUCUUCAAUCUCAAUUUAAAUUUUGUUGAUUUAUUUAACGUGUUUCUUUUUCACUAUUUUAUAAAAAAAUAUUAUAUAUAUAUAUAUAAAUUUACAUGUAAAUAAGAAAAUAAAAAAAAUACAAAACAAAUAAUAAUACAUAAGAAAUAAACGUGACCAUAUACCAAUAAUUAAAAAAGCUACACAUACUAAAAUAAAUAUAAACAAUACAUAAACAUAAAUAAUACACGUAAAUAAAUAAAUUAUUCAAGAAUAACCAAAAUUUUUCUUUUUUUCCAAGUUUUUUUUAUUUAUUUAUGUAAGAUUUUAUUUAAAUAGGACAUUAAAUAUUUUAAAUUUGUAUUUAUUUAAGAUUUUAAAUAAUUUAAUUUUUUUAUUUACGUAUGACAUUAAAUAUUUAAGUUUUAUUCUUUUAGCAAUUUUUGAAUAGUUUAGUAAUUUAAUUUAUUUUAGAUUUUUAUUUAAGUAGAACACUAAAUAAUUUAGAUUUUGUAUUUAUUUAGGAUUUUGAAAAUUUUAGAAAUUUAUUUAUUUUAGAUUAUUAUUUAAGUAGGAAAUACAAUAAUUUAGGACUUCAAAAAAUUUAAAAAUUUUAUAAACUUUAGAUUUUUGUUUUAGAAAGAAAUUAAAUAUUUUAGGAUUUUUUUUAACUUUUAAUUUUUUAUUUAAGAAUGACAUAAAAUUUUUCUCAUUCAUAUUAAUUUAGGAUUUUGAAAAAAUUAUUAUUUUAUUUAUUUUAGAUUUUUAUUUAAAUAUGACAUAAAAUAAUUUAAAAUUUUUAUUUUUUUUAAGAUUUUCAUUUAACUAUGACAUAAAAUAAGUUAAGAUUUUUAUUUAUUUAGGAUUUUGAAUAAUAUCGGAAUUUAAUUUAUUUCACAUUUUUACUUAAGUAGAUCAUUCAAUAAUUUAGGAUUUAUAUUUAUUUAGAUGUUUGAAGGAUUUUGAAAAUCUUAGAAUUUUUAAUUCUUUUAUAUUUUUAUUUAAGUAGAAAAUAAAAUAAUUUCAGAUUUUUUAUUUAAUUAGGAUUUUUACAAACUAUUGAAAUUUUAUUUAUUUGAUUUUUUUAUUUAUUUUUUAUGACAUAAAAUAAGUUAGGAUUUGUGUUUAUUUAGGAUUUUGAAUCUUUUAAAUUUUAUUAUUAUUAUUUAGUAUAAUUUAAAAAAUUAUUUAUUUCAGAUAUUUUAUUUAAGUAGGAUAUUUAAUAAUUUAAGAUUUGUAUUCACUUAAAAUUUUGAAUAAUUUAGGAAUUUUAUUUAUUGUAAAUCUUUGUUUAAAAAUGACAUUUAAUAAUUUAAGAAUUAUAUUUACUUAUAAUUUUAAAUAAUUUAGAUAUUUUAUUUUUUGAAUUUUUUCAUUUAAGUAUGAUAUUGAAUAAUUUAUAAUUUGUUAUUUUUUAAAAUUUGAAAUAAUUUAGGAAUUGUUAUUGAAAUUUUUUAUUUAAGUAUGAUAUUAAAUAAUUAAAAAAUUGUAUUUAUUUAGGAUUGUGAAUAAUUUAGAAAUUCGAUUUAUUUUAGAUUUUAUUUAACUAAAAUAUGAAAUUAUUUAGAUUUUGUAUCUAUUUAGGAUUUUAAAAUUUUAAAAAAAUAUUAUUUAUUUUAUAUUAUUAUUUAUAUAAAAAAUAAAAUAAUUUAGGAUUUGUAUUUAUUUAGAACUUAGAAAAACAUAGAAGUUUAAUUAAUUUAGAUUUUUAUAUAAGAAUGUCAUUAAAUAUAAUUUGAGAAUUUUAUUGAUUUUCAAUUUUUAUUUAAGAAUUAUAUUAAUUGUUUUGGGACUUAUAUUUAUUUAGGAUUUUUAAAACUUAUUGUACUGACUAGGGCGAAAGGUCAACCGAAAGGUUGUACCGAAAGUCUCGACCGAAAGGUUGUACCGAAAGUCUUAACCGAGAGGUUAAAUAUAAAAAGUAAAUAAGUAAAAUUAAAUUAGUGAUUAUAACAAAAUCCAUAAGAUGGGCCCAAAUAUACAAGUGUGUGUUUUCAAAAUGUUAGGUGCAAAAAGAAAAGACCCAAGUAACUCUUAAGCCCAAUAAGAGAGCCUUAUAAAUAGAGGUUCAACUCAAGAGGUAAGUGAGAUUUAAUUUAUCUGAUGAACAUAAAACUAUAUCUGACUUUGGCAUCGGAGCGCCUUGUAGGUACACACACCCACCUGUGAGGAGAAGAAGCCGAGAGCCCAACUCGAGUAGAAGCCGUGAGAGCCCAACCCGAGAAGAAGCCGAGAGCACCUAGCUAAAGGAGAAGCCGAGAGCAUCUNNNNNNNNNNNNNNNNNNNNNNNNNNNNNNNNNNNNNNNNNNNNNNNNNNNNNNNNNNNNNNNNNNNNNNNNNNNNNNNNNNNNNNNNNNNNNNNNNNNNGAGAAGCCGAGAGCAUCUAUCUUGAGGAGAAGCCUAGAGCACCCAAUGUGAGAAGAGACCGAGAGAGUCCAACCCAAAGUUCGGAAGAUUUGUAUAAGAGUUAAUCUUGUCAACCUGAUUCUAGUGUUCUUGGUCCUUGUUGUAAGAACACUUAUAAAUUUUAUUUACUUUUAAUUUUUAUUUAAGUAGAAAAUAAAAUAAUUUAAGAUUUUGUAUUUAUUUAGGAUUUUUAAAAACUUAAUUUUUUUAUUUAUUUGAUAUUUUUAUUUAAGAAUAACAUUAAAUUAUUUAGGAUAUGUAUUUAUUUAUAAUUUUGAAUAAUUUAAAAUUUUAAAAUGAUAGAAAUUUUAUUUAUUUUUGAUAUUUUUAUUUAAGUAUGGCAUAAAAUAAGUUAGGCACCGGAGAAAGCAAUGGCUUGUAGCUUGCAACCACAUACUACAUGAUAUCCAAAUAAUUUAAAAAGACUUGGGGUCAAGAAUUGUUGUUUUAUAUUUUUCCAUUGAUUUUUCGUCAAUCAUCAUAAUGUUCAACUCAUAUAUCUUCCUGCUUGGAUGAAAUAGACUAAAUAUAUAUCUUACCAAUUUCUCAUGACUCAUAACAAUAACGUAAUAAAAAUUAGAAUAUGAUAAUGAAAUGUCUUUAAUUUAGUGGUUAGAGGUAUCCUGGUUAGUGGUCCUAAGUUUAAGGGUGUGUUUGGAUUGGGAGGUGGAUGUGUGAGAAUUUGAGGAGUGGAUGUGUGAGUAUGUGAGAAGAAAGUGAAGUUGUUUGGAUUGAUGUAUGUUAGAGUGGAUGUGUGAGGAAAAUUUAUGGGAGUUUGUGAGUGAUGUAAUUGUUGUGAGGUUUUUUAAUUUUCUUAAAAAGUAUAAAAUAUAAGUUUACAAAUUUACCCUUGUAUUUAUAAAUAUUUAAAUAAUGAAAUAUGAUGUAUUUUUGUGUAAAUUUGAGUUAGUUGAAAUAUUUUAAAUUAUUUUUUGUACAAUUGAAUAAAUUAUUUGGAUACUAUUAAAUAAUUAUUUUUAAAAAAAUACGAGUUAUUUAAUAUUAUCGAAACACGAAAAAAAUCAUAAAAAUAAUAUUAUCUAAGCGUAUACAAAUUUAUUGUUAUAUUUAUUUAUACAUUUUGAAAGGUUUUUAUAUUCAUUGAUUUAGAUUUAGAUUGUAUGUAGUAGAUACAUAACCAUGUAGAUAUUUUAGAGGACAUUUUAUAAUAAAAAAUAUUAUAUAUAGAGUGAAUUGUACAACAAAUUUAUUUAUAAAGAAGAAAAAAUAUAUACAAUAAAGUAUGAAAUAUCAUAAUAUGAUAAUUAUGAUGGAAAAAUAAUAAAAAUAAAAAAUAUUAUUAUAUAUAUUAUUACAUUAAUGACAAAGAAAAAAAAAGGCCAAAAAGGAAAAACAUCACCAUCUUAGGUGACUUUCCCCUCAAAUCUCUGCAUAUGAGAAGGAUGAGAAAAAUCACUGUUCAUGGAUAUCCACUAUCUCUCUUCCCUGCACAUCCCUUGAUUCAAACCAUGGAUAUCCACUCACAUAUUUUCUCUUGAACAGUACAAUCCUUGAAACAAACAAAGCCUAAGUCUCACCUACAACAAAAUGGUAAUAAUAAUAUAUUGUAAUAAUUAGAAAUAAUAAUCGUAAAUGAUAAAUAAUAUUUUUAAUAUUAAUAAUAAUUAAUAACACUAAUAAUUACCGACAAAAUAUUUUAUUGAUAAAUUUACCGAUAGAAUAUUUUUCGUCAAUAAAUUUACCGACAAACAUAUUAUUUAUAAAUUUGUGUUUGUCGUUUUUUCAUCGAUAAUGCAUGCUUAGCGAUGGAUUUUUGGUCUUACCUAUGGAUUAGACAAUUGAUAAUAUGUUUUUUUGUAGUAUGUGAAACUUUUAUCAUUAGUCCAUUCAUUUCUCACUUUUAAACUGAAUAAUCUUAAAGUUGCUAACAAUAUUGUGAAGUUAUUGAAUACUGGAUAAUUGUUUCUCCAAAUCAAGCAUCAAAAAAUCAUACACAUGUAUUCUUCCAAAAAAAAUUUUACCACCAUCAUGUAUUAUUUCCUUUAAAUUAUCGUUUAUCCCUUUUUUAAUAUUUUUUAUCGUCAACAUAAUUUGAGUGACUAAUAUUUUUUCAUGUCGUAUACGUAUUGUAUAACUCUUAACAAUAUCAAAGAUAAAUCGAUGAUAAUUAUAAUAUCCCAACUAUUAUAUGAAUAAUUGUUAUUUAAUUCUUUGAUUUCUUGAAAUUAUAUCAUGCUUGUUAUGAUGUGUUGUUAUGAUUUGUUGUAAUUUUUUCUUUUGUUUGUAUUGUAUUCCUUUUCUAUCUUGUGAGUCAAGUGUUUUUUCAAGAAUGCAAAAGGAUAAGUGUGACGAUAUUUGAUGAGCAUAUAUUCACUCACACUUAAAUAGCUUUAAUCAUAGAUGUCUUUGACUAAAAUCAUGUAUAACUCUAUUAUUUUAAGUAAGAUUCAUCUAACUGGGUUUAUUUGGACCUUAACUGUUAUUUAUGAUAAUACUGUAUAUUUUAGUCGCAGUAGACGGUCCAAUGCUUCUUAGAGUACAUUGGAUGGUCUAAUAAGAGCGUUUGGUAAAGAGUUUUAAGGAAGUUUUUAUCUCUACAAGUGAGUCAAAUAUGCGAAAGUCCAAGUUGCUUCUUUGAAUCAAAAUGAGAAAAAAAAUCUUAGGGGAAGAAUUAGAGAAUAAAAUCUAAUAUAUCAUAAACAGAAUUGGAAGCAAAUAUUAUGCCAAAUACAAAGAAACAUAGUUCACGAUGAAAGUGAAAAUAAAAUUUAGGAAUUCUGAAAAGUUGAAAACUUAAAAAUCGAAGCAAUAUCUAAAUUGAAAUAUAUUUUUGAGAUCCUUGGAACAAAGAAACCUACAAAAGGAUGUAAGCUUCAAGGAGAAAGGGGAAAGCUUCAGAGCUUAACAUAAUGCAUUCGAAAAAUAGAGCAUUAGAGUUUUCUUAGAUUUUAUUUGUUUUUCUUUGUUAUAAUUCUUUUGUUUACCUUCAUAUGGAAGGUUAAACUCAUUCAUGUUGAUUCUCUUGUGAUUUUGCAAUGAAUUUUGAGAUUUGUAUUCAAUAAGAUUUUAUUCUUAUAUUCUAUGUAGCAAUUCGUGUAUAAAGGUUUGGUCUUUUUGAAUUUCGAUUUUUGUUAAAGAAUUGUCUUUGAACAAUUGUUAAGAAUUCUGUUAUUUUCUUUAAUUAGAGUUUUUGGUUAGUUUAUUUUAGGGAUGACAAUGCGUGACGAGUCAUGCGGGUUAGCCCAUAGUCCGCUACCAAAAACUGCGAGACGGGCUCACUAAUAUAGCCCGUUGAACCGUCCGCAUAACCUGUAGCGGGGCAGGGCGGGGCGGGUUGGCCCGCUGGCUCGCAUAAAUAAAAAAUAAUUAUUUUAUUUUUUUAGUAUAAAAAAAUCAUACCUCAUUCACCCAUUAUUGCAAUGACAUUUAUUUUAUUUAAUUUUUAAAAAAAUGAAUUUAAUGUACUAAAAAAAGAAUGUUUUAUUUUAAUCAUUUAAAAGAGUUAAUUUUUUUAUCAACAAUAAAAAAAACACUUUAGGGUUGAUCCAACCCAUGUACAAAAUUGCACAAAAACAAACAACCUCUCAUCCCAUAAGUUUGCCACUCACUUCCUGCUAGAACAAAUACAGUCUGACUAACCUAAAUAAAUCACUUAUGUUUAAUCGAAUACAUACAAACCAGGGGAUCUAGACACCAACAUAAAAGGAAAAACAAGAAGGGACUUUAGAGGUUACCCAGGGUCAGACUUUUAGUUGAGCCAUGGGGCUAGUAUGAAGAGUGACAGUGGAUUUAGUUUUAGGUAAAGUCUUAUAUUUAGAAUUUGUUAAUAAAAAAUAAUAUAAAGAAGAGAUUUCAAUAGGAUAGUUAAAAAAUUAGUCAUCUUCAUUAAAAUAUUCUUAUACAUUUACAUACAUAUAUAGAAAAAAUAGAUGCAAAGCAAAACUUUUAAUUAUUUUUAAUCAAACCUUUUAACAAUCCUCAUACUUGAAUUUAUAUUUUUAUCUUAAUUGAAUAAAUUGAAACAUGGAUAAAAUUUUAACUUUUCAGCAGUAGGAAUAAUUUUUUUAUAAUUAAUAAAAUUUUAAUUUUUGAAAAAAAAUAUUUUUCUUAUGCGGGCUGGCUCGCAGGCCUGCGGAUUACCUCUUAUGUGAGAUGGGUCAGUGAAAUGAGUCCGCACUCGUUGCAUGGGGCAUGCUAACACGGUCCGCAUUUUGUGGGCCAAACGCAGGACGGGCCUAUGCAGGACGAGCCAACUCGCAUUGUCACCCCUAGUUUAUUUAAUUAUAAUCAAUCUCUUGUUCAUUUAAACAUAAUACUUUCCACUACAAAAAAAUAUGUUUAUUAGGAUGGAUAAAAAACGAACAAUAUCUAAAAGAAACGGACGCAAAACUGUAAUUAUCUUCGGCUUAGCGUUUAUUCAAAUUUGGAAGCUAAUAUGUUUGACGUAAAAGUAGUCGGGGAUGCGUGAGACACUUUUUUGCGUAGACCUAGCCUACAUGGUUCGCACACAAAAUUAUAUUUUAUAUUUGUUUAUUAGAAAAAGCUAGGCUAAGCCAACGGUAUAACCACUCAAUUUUUAAAUAUGCGCGAGCUUAACUUUCACGUUGGCCACACAAAAUUAUAUUUAUAUUGUCCACUCAAAGAGGUGUGAACUUAGCCUACACAUUUGCCACAAAAUUUAAAAAAAAAGUGGACUUAGUCUACAUGUUACCCACACAAAAUUAUAUUUUAUGAACCAUACAAUUUUUAAACACACCGUGCUUAACUUACAUUAUUUAAAUAUAAAUUUUUUAAACAAACAUGACUAAACCUUCACAUGCCACACAAAAAUUAUAUUUUAUAUUUUUCUUUCUAGUCGACACUACACAUGCUAAGUUUUGUGACAAUAUUGGGCUUUGGUUUGCAUUUUAAAUAUUACAGUUAACAUAAAAAAGUUUAAAAUAUUGUGUUAUAGAAGUUUUAUAUUGGUAAAUAAAACUUGACUUACAUGUGUGAAAAUGACUCAAUGAGAACAUGCAAAAGGUGUAAUAUAUAUUAAAAUUUAUUUUGCAUGUACAGAAAUGCCGUCAAAUAAAUAAUAUAUAAAAUACACCUCUAAUGAUUUAGACACAAUAAUUUAUAAUUAAAUAAUGAUAUAAACAUUUCAGUACAUUUUAAUUAGGUUUGUAAACGAAUAAACCUUCUUCUUCAUGUAUAAAAGUGAAUUUUAAAACAUGAAACACUUCAUUUAAAAAUUAUGCUGUGGUGACAGAUAAUUUACCGCAAAUGAAAAUUUUAUUUAAUUUAUUAUCAUUAUUGCUAUUAUUUUUUUAUCAACAAAAAUACAUAAAUAAAAAGUGGAAUAUUUUCCAAAACUUACAAAUAGAAUCAAAAUUUUGAGUUGCUAUUAUUAUUUUUAAAAAAAUUAAAAUUUCGAAUUUUAACCUCAAUGGCAAACCAAACCAGAAAUUAUUUCUUUUUCAGCUUAUAAUCUCUUUUACGAAGCUUAUCCAAUUCGUCAAUCCAUAAAUCAAAAAAUAUAUUUUGGAUCCACCAAUUCAUAAGUUUAAAAAUACAUUCUAGAUUCACUAAUUCAUAAGUACAUUCUUGAUUUAUCAAUCCAUAGAUUUUGAAAAACUCACAUUCCAAAAAUCUAUAAACCCCAUAAAAAUACCUUUUCAAAUAAAAAUAACAAAAACAAUUUUAAAUUUUUUAAAAAUAUAAAAGUGUAGAAAGAAAUACCUAAAUUAUCCUAUAUGUAUCAUAUAUAUAUAUAUAUAUAUUUUAUUUUUUCUAAUUUUUUAUUAUUUUUUAUUUUUGUAAUUAUACAGUAAUUUCAGGUGUGUUGGAAUGCUAACAAUAAAGCAUCCUAACAUAAUUAGGGACAUUUAGAGGGUUUACAGGAUAAGUUAAGUUAGCUGGAAUUAUAGAAAGAGGAUGGUGAUGAAAACAUUACCAUAUAAAAACUAGUAUGAGUAAUAUAUAUAUAUUCGAUUAAUAUUAUGUGGAGUAUAAUUUGAGUUGAGGUGGUGAGUGAAUUCUGAAAUUACAGAAAUUUUACCAUAUUUAAAAGGGGUGUGAUGGACGUGUAUGAAGUGUUUGUUUUAGUACAAAUAAAUGUUUGAUCUUGAAUUUUAGUAAAAAUAAGUUUUGCUUUGUUUUUCUACUUUUAUUAAUGUUUGGAACUUUUGGUGUGUAUGCAGAUAAUUUUUUUAAGUUUUUUUGAAGGAUUUAUUUUAAUAGACUUUUAUUAUUUAGUCUGGUAAUAUUUGUUAGAUAUUAGUUUAUGUAUAAGAGUUGAAUCAUUCUCAAAAUGAUAUAUAUAUAUAUAUAUAUAUAUUUUACAUUUUUUUAUAGUUAAUAAAAAAGAUAAUUUAUUAAAUUUUGUCUGUUCAAAAUUGUCAGAGUCAGUGGUACCUUUCACUUGUAAAAAAAUGAAAUAGUAUAAUAAUUCUUGCGAAGACUUUCGCUAUAUAACGAGGCAGAGACCGGUUACAAAUCAAUAAUAAAUCAAUCAGUAGCAACAGCCCGGUCCACAAUCUGAAUACAAGAAAAAUAAUAUGAAUUCAGUUUAUUAUUUUAAAAAAUUGUUAUAAUCUAUAGUAACGUAUAAUAGAUAUUUUUAUUUAUUUAGUUGUAACUUUUAAUUAUAUUUUGAAAUUACAAUAUUUUAAAUCAAAUAACUGUCUUAAAAUAACACAAUAAUAAAAGAAAACUAAUAAAUAUAAAUUACAUAUUCAUUAAGAAUAAUUAUAUACAUUUCGAUCAUUCUAUUAUAUAUUAGAAUACAUAAUUUAAAGAGUGAAGUUUAUUUUGCAUUCUCUUUUGACAUCAAAUAACAUUAUUUAUAUUCCUUCUACUUUGAGGCCAACUUUUACCAAAACAAUGAGAAUAAAACAUAGAUUAAAUUUAUAAAUGUUAAUUUUGUAUCUUGAUUUGAGAUACUGAUUAAAUUAAUAUAUAAACAUUUUGAAAAAAUAUAUAUUUAAAAAAUAAUAAACAGUUGACCAUAUUAAAAUAACUUGAUAAAAAAAUGUAAUUUCACAAAGUUGAAUAAAAUUAUUUUCUGAUAAAAUGAAGUGAAACAAGUUGGUGAGACAUGGCCCCAUAUCAUUCAUUCUCCCAACAAGAAAGGGGUUCUUAAAUUACGAAGGACAAAGUUUUAUAAAUGCUGAGGAAAACACUCUCAGAUCACACUCAUACCAAGAAAUGUCUCACCUUCAAAAUUAAUUAUAUGUUUUGCAAGAAAAUAAAUAACCAAUUUAUUUAAGAAGUUUUGAAUUUAACUUUCAAAGAAUAAAAUAAUUAUUUUAAUAUUAUUUAAUUAUGUAAAAAAAAGUUCUAUCUUUCCAUGUAAUUACUAAAUUUAAUAAAUUUAUUUUGUUAUUAACAUGUUUUAUUAUAAUAAAAGUUGUGUUUUAAUUUAUUGAUGGUAACUUAUGUCUUAUCGUAUUUAUAUUUUGUUUGUACUGUUUCACAUGUUCUUUGGAUACAUUGUUUGUCACCAUGCAAACAUGUAAUUUCACAGUCAAACUGCAUUAUUUCUGAAACCAAUUUGUCCUCAAACACGUUAAUGUUGAUAAGUGAAAACAAGAACAUGACAUUUGUAACGUUAUGGGACUCUUCUUUUUCUUUUUACAAAAAUUUAUUUAUUUUUUAUUUUUUUAUAUUUUCAUGUAAAAUUAAUUUUUUUUUUCAAACUUGAAUAUUUUGAACAUUUCUAGUAAAAACACUAUAGGAAUAAGCUUCUGUCAAAAAUUUAAGUGACGAAAUUUCUAAUAUAAAUUAAGAUGCUGUUUGUUGAUUUAUUAUUAAUAUGAAUAUUAUAACAUUAUAUUAUAAUUCAAAUUGAAGAUUAUUUGUUACAUUAAAAUUUAGAAUUUGAACUAAAUACGAAAACGUUAUAGUACAUGAACCAAAAGAUAACCCAUAAUUAUUUUCAAUAGAAGAGAAUUAUGAAAGGAGUUUUAAGUUAGUUUUUACUAUAUUGUUUUUAAGAUUUUUUUUUCAAAGUAAGAGUUUAAUAAACUUAUAUUUUAAUAAUUUCUAUUUAUUGACGGAUAAAAAUAUAUAUUAUUUUAAAAUAGUUUUUGUUCUUGUGAUUUAGAUAUUUUUAAAUUUUUCUUUACAAAAUAUGUCGUUAUAUGAAAACAGUAAAAUUGAUUAAAUAGAAUAUUUUUUAUAAUCACUAAAAAAUUAUUAAAUAAAAAUUAAUUUUAUAGACUAAAUAAUUAAUUCUAAAAUUAACUAAAUUAGAUGAGAUUAAAAAAUUUAUUGAUUUUUAAAUUAUUUGUUAUUAUUAAUAAAUAUUUUUUAAAUUAAUAAUUAAUUAAAUAUUAAAUUAGGAGCUAUUUAUUAAUAAUAUAAAAUAAUUUAAAAAUUAAUAAUUUUUAGAUUUUUUAAAAUAAUAUUUAAUUUAGUAAUGAAUGGUUGGAUAAGAUUUAUGUGGAAACACGUAAUAUCCACACACUAUUUCAGCAUAUGAUAAAUAUUAUUGUUGUUUUUCCCUCUGACUUUCCUGUCUUUGUUCACAAACGUAUUAAUGAAAAACGCAUAUGAUAAACGCAUUAUGUACGGAUAUUACCCACAGAUUCUGAAUCCGUAGGUAAAUUCAGCAUUACCUACUAACUAUUACUCAUGAAUCUUAUUACCUACCAAUUUUUACCUAUGGAUCUCUAUUACGUACAACUAUUACUCACGAAUCUUUAUUACAUACGAACUAUCACCCACAAAUCUCUAUUAUCUACCAACUAUUUUCAUAAUAAUUAAUAUAUACAUAAUAUUAAAAAUAAAUAUUAUUAUAAUAUAUAUAAUUAUAAAAUCAUAAUUAAUAUUCAUAAAUAAUAAUAAUCAUAACUAAUAAGUAUACAUAUUAUUAAUACUAUAAAAUUAAUAAUAUUAAUAUAAAUAAUAUAAUUAGUAUUAUAUUAAUAAUAUUAGUAAUAUUAAUAGUAUUAAUGAUAUUAAUAAUAUAACAACAUUAAUAAUAUUUAAUAAUACUUAUAAUAUUAAUAAUAUUUAAUAAUACUUAUAAUAUUAAUAAUAUUUAAUAAUACUUAUAAUAUUAAUAAUAUUUAAUAAUACUUAUAAUAUUAAUAAUAUUUAAUAAUAGUAAUAAUAUUUAAUAAUAAUAAUAAUAAUAUUUAAUAAUAAUAAUAUUUAAUAAUACUUAUAAUAUUUAAUAAUAUUAAAUGUAAUUAUAUUUAAUAAUAAUAAUGAUAUUAAAUAUAUAAAUAAUGUUAUUAAUUUUUAUUUUAUUAAUUAUAUUAAUAUUUAUAAUCAUAUAAUAAGGAUAAUAAUAAUAAUCAUAAAAUAACAACAAAAUUUCACUGAUAUAAUUAUUAAAACUUCUUUAGACAUUUUUCAAAGAACUUGAAUCCAAAUCUCAUUUACUAAAAUUUGGUUCUAACUUUUAUUAUUAUUUUCAUAACAUAAAGAAAAUUCAAAUAAUAAUUAAAACAUUAGAUUUCACGUGUAAAUGCAAAAAAGAUAUAUGUAGUACCAAUAAUAGUGAAUUCUCACGAGUCAGAUCCAUAUUAAUGCUAAAGCAAAAUUUAUGUAGUACCAAAAGUUCUGAAUUCUCACAUGAGUCAUGAUCCACAUUUAAUACGUAAGGUACUAGUCACACUCAAAACUACUUUUGUUGUCUAUCAAUUUUAACUCUUUUUUUUUAAAUAUAUUAUCACGAUUUUCAUAAUCUUAGCAUAAUUAAAUACCUUAUAAUAAAUUUAGGGUAAAUUGUAUGGUAAAGAAUUAGACUUAUGAUAAUGUUAACUUUUACUUUUACUUUAGUCAUUUUUUCUGUAUUAACAUAAUAAAUUCCUUUUUAACUUUUAACUUACUGAGUUUCUUUUUUUUUUAUUUAUUUUCUUUUGUAAAUAAUUGGAUUUUGAUUACUACCAUAUAAUUAUACCACUAUAAUCUUAGUUAAAUUUUGUCUAACCAUUGAACAUAAUGUGUGAAAGAGGAAAUGAAAGGUUAAAGGAUGAAUUUUCAAAAGAUUAUGAAUUGAACCUCAUGAAGUCAGAGAGAAAAACUGGUGAAAAGGUUGGGUAUCAUACUAUGUAGCACAAACACUGAUACGAACAUUGAUACGACACAAACACAUAUACAACACGGACACGGAUAUGGAGAUACGUAAAAUCUCUAAAAUGUAGGACACGGGGACACGAAUUUAUAUAUUAUAUAAUUAUAAAUUAUAUAAAUUGACAAUAAAUAUUUAUGUGCACAAGUAUGUUUCAAAUUAUUUUUUGGAGCAAAAAGAUGUUUUUCACGACUAGUUCACAAGGAUUUGUUUCUUAUUUUUAUAAUCAUAAUAACAAUUUAUACAAUAAAAUUUGAAAUUUGAGAAAAUUAUUGUAUUUUUCUUUUUGAAAAUUGUGUUAGAUCCAUACUAGAAUUGUCAGAAAUCUAAAAAAAUACUUUUUGAAUUAGACACUUCACGGAUACGUGUCCUACAGGUGUCAUACGAGUGUUGGUGUCCGAUACGAGUAUCAGACAUCGACACGUCAUUCAAGAGGAGUGUCCGAGCUUCAUAGGUGCCAUAUCAUUUGCAUUGAGCAAUAAUUAGGCAGAAGGCUACUCAUGGUGAUUUCAUCAACAUGGAUUGAUUUAUGUUAAGUGUAAGAUGGACCGAGAACUAUUUCUGAUUAUUGCGUCGUCCAAUGUGCAAUAUCGUGUUGGGCGCUGCUUUUACUGACGUGACAACCUAAGCUUAUUUCUUCCUUUUCCUUCGAGUGAAGAGGAGGUUUUUUGGUUUUGGAAGAGAAAAAAAGACACAUUUUGGAUUAACAAAUUUUGAUUAAACCAAAACAACUCAUUCAACCAUCCAAAACCAAAGUACGUAUAAAUUGAAGAUGGAGUUUGGCCUAAGACAAUAAAUGGAACUGAAAUAAAAAUAAAUAAAAAUAAAUUCUCCAUUCAUUGUUGCGAGAUCAAGAGAAGAGAAAGAUGGAAGCUACAUGGGAGGAGAACAUGCCGCAAAGAGGAGGGAGGAGCCGGCAAAGUGGAGGGAGGGACCAAUAGAGCGGAGGGAGGGACCAAGGAAGGUGGCGGCGGAGAGAGGAAGCGACGAAGGAGGGAGUUGUGCAGAGAGAAAAAAUUAGGUUUUGAAUUUGGAGAGUUUUUUUUUUAUUUUGAGAAAAACUGACCAAGGGAGACAAAGUUGACAUUUAUUAAUAAUUUUGCUUUGACUCAGACUGAUGUAAAACAACGUUAAAGCUUGACACAUAACUUGUGUCGGCUAGACCGAUGCAUGCCCAACAACGACUAUAGUGUCCGCUAGACCGACACAUAUCUCUACUUUUAUUUAAUUUAUGAACUAAAAUUACAUGUAAAUAUAAUUUAUUAACAAGAAUUUUCAAAAUAAUUAAUUUAUUUCUCUUUGUAUCGACCAAACUAAUGCACAACAAACACAAUUUUGCGUGAGUCAAGCCAACGUAAAAUGAACGCAGUUUGUGUGGGUCAAGCCGACGCAAAAGUUAUGACAAAAAACUUUGCAUUGGCUAGAUCGACAAUUUUUUUUUCUCUUCCACUUUCUCUUAGUGUCUACCAUGCGUCAGAUACCCACACAACAUUUCUUUUGCGUUCGCCUAUCGUGAGUUUGACCAACGCAAUUUGUGCCUUCCUCUUAAUCGACAAAACUCUUACGUAACUAAUCUUUCGUUUUCUUAGAUUUAGCUACUCAGUUUACUUACUUCCUCUAAUGCAUGUUGUCUCUUUAAAAUCACUUCAUCGAUCUUAUAUUUUCUAAGGAAUUAUAUACUAAUGUAGCAUCUCAUAUAUUACAUCAAUUUUAAUAAAAACCAACCUAAUAUAUAGGAGAUUUUUUAGGAGUGCUCACUUGUGCCCUUUCUUCUUUACAUUAACAUUAGUGCAUGUUUUUAUCCUUGUCUUUUCACCCUCACCUUUGUUUUCCACCUCAUUUCUCCUCCUUUCACCAUGCUCCUUCCUUUAUGCUUAGGCUACCAUCCCCAAACAUAAGUGUCACCACUAUACGAAGUGUUCGUCAUGUGAAGGCCGAUAUCACCACCAUAUAAAUUUUUUAGAAAUGCAACAAUCUUAUAUUUUCCAAGGAAUAAAUGACACAUUUGAGAGUUUAUACAUCAUCUACACCCAAGUCUUCAUUUUAGCUAUACAAAAUAUUUCAUACACACCCACUCUUCCAUUNNNNNNNNNNNNNNNNNNNNNNNNNNNNNNNNNNNNNNNNNNNNNNNNNNNNNNNNNNNNNNNNNNNNNNNNNNNNNNNNNNNNNNNNNNNNNNNNNNNNNNNNNNNNNNNNNNNNNNNNNNNNNNNNNNNNNNNNNNNNNNNNNNNNNNNNNNNNNNNNNNNNNNNNNNNNNNNNNNNNNNNNNNNNNNNNNNNNNNNNNNNNNNNNNNNNNNNNNNNNNNNNNNNNNNNGUAUUUCCAUUAUUAUCCUUUGGAUCCAUAGUCAUAAAUGCAGUGUACGAACGUUUGUAUAUUUGUCCCUCCAUGAAUUCUUUACAAAAUCUCAACCAAUACGAGAGCAGUUUACCUGUAUGCACAGGGAGGAGGAAAAUAUGUGUGAAAAAUUAGAGAUAAUUCAGCACUGAGUUGAAGGACUUCACAUUUACCUAUAAAUACCUUCCUCUAGAGUAGCCACAAGGCACAAGCAUUAAGGUGCAAAACCUCUCCCACCCAAAGAAGAGUGUGCUGUGUUUGAGAAGCUAGCAAAAAUGUUUGGGAUCUUGAACAGGGGUCACAAGAUAAAGGGCACGGUGGUGUUGAUGACCAAGAAUGUGUUUGACUUCAAUGAAUUUGUGUCAACCACUAGGGGUGGAAUAGUUGGUGCUGCAGGUGGUCUUUUCGGUGCUGCCACUGACAUAGUUGGAGGCAUAGUUGACGGUGCCACUGCCAUCUUCAGCCGUAACAUUGCCAUUCAGUUGAUCAGUGCAACCAAAACUGAUGGUUUGUUUCUCUAUCUUCUACUUCUUUCAACAUCUCAACAACACCUGCAAAAAACUUAACCUAACUCUGAUGGUUUGCAUUAUCUUUUAUAAUAAUUAGCUUGAAAAAAAUGUUCAUUUUCUUUUAUGAAUAAAUAAAAUGAUACUCCAACUUUGUAAUUAUGACCAUUUAUAAUGAAAUGAAAAAUAUAAAUAUAUUUUAUAUAGAUAUAUAACUAUUAGAUUCUUCUUAUGAAUAUAUAUACAUAAAUUCAUGCAAAUAAUAAGAGGUAUAUCUUUUAUCAUAGUUUCUCAUGAGAUUACACUUUUGACAAUAAUUAUGUUUAAUAUACACUAUACAAAAUAUUCUCAUUUAAUAUAUACUCGAAGUAACUUUGUUUUUUUAACUCACUGGAAGUGACUUUCAUUAGUGUAUUUGUCUUUCUAAAAAUAUAAAGAUUCAUAGUAGACGUUCGCAGUAUUUUGUGAUAUAGAUUACGGUAAAAAAAAAGAGAAAAAAAUAAUAAUAAUGAAAACGGAUAGAAAUAGCAAAGAGAUACAAUAAAAUACGGAAAAAAAUGAAUAUCUAUAUUUUUUUAUAAAUAAAUGUUAUAGUAUAGGUAUUAAAAGUAAAUUUAUGUUAAUUAUAUUACAACAGUAAAUAAUUUAACAGCACAAAAAUAUUUAAUAUAUAUUUCCAGUUUAUAUUAAUAUUAAUAUUAUUAUAAAUAUUAGUGUAGAGUAGGAGCAUGGUGUAAUUAUGCUUAAUUAUUAUGUUUAAAAUAUGAAUCCAAUCUGAAAAAAAAUAUCGUUUAAAUGAUUCAGUUUUUAUUGGAGCAUCCUUAAAUAAUUAGAUCAUAUUCAAAAUAUAUUAUAUAUCAUUGAUGUAUUUUAUUAUUAAGACAAAUCAAACUUUCUUUUAUGUAUAAUUAUAUAUACAGAUAUUGUAAAAAUAUAUAGAAUAGUGUAAGAAUAAGAUCAAAAUCAAUAUAUGCAAUUUUGGCAUUUAACUUAAAAAAGAAUUAUGUAUUGCACACCAAUUUUAGCUAUGCACAACUAAGAAAUUGGAAUAAUCAUUGUUGAUAUAAAUGCUACGAAUUAUGGUUCUAACAUAACCACUAAACUAUUGCAAAGUGCAUCACUUACACAUGCAGAAUCUGUAUACUUUUUUCAGGGCUUGGAAAUGGAAAGGUUGGAAAGCAAACCUUUUUGGAGAAACAUCUUCCUUCGUUACCAAACUUGGGAGAUAGACAAGAUGCAUUCAAUGUUUAUUUUGAAUGGGAUGAGAAUUUUGGAAUUCCAGAAGCAUUUUACAUCAAAAACUUUAUGCAAUCUGAGUUUUUUCUUGUGAGUCUCACUCUUGAAGACAUUCCCAAUCAUGGAACCAUUCACUUUGUUUGCAAUUCAUGGGUCUACAACGCUAAGUCUUACAAAAGGGAUCGCAUUUUCUUUGCUAAUAAGGUAAGUAACUUUCUACCUACCAAAGCAAGCAACUUAUGAAAUUCAAAAUUUUCCCUUAACUUUCAUAUAAUUUAGCUAGCUCAUUUUCUUCCCACUGUGUAAAUGAAAAACAUGGUUAAAUGUGUUGCAGACAUAUCUUCCAAAUGAAACUCCAGCUUCACUGGUAAAGUACAGAAAAGAAGAGUUGGAAAAUCUUAGAGGAGAUGGAACGGGGGAGCGCAAGGAAUAUGACAGGAUCUAUGAUUAUGAUGUUUAUAAUGAUUUGGGCAACCCAGACAAGAACAAGAAUUUAGCUCGUACUACUCUUGGAGGGUCUAGUGACUUUCCCUACCCUCGCAGGGGAAGAACUGGUAGAAAAUCAACAAGGAAAGGUUAGGAUUAUGUUUUCUAUUUUCAACAAAAUGUUUCAUAUGUUUUUGGUAACAUAUGUAGAGAUGUUGUGCAUUAUGACAUAUAAAUUCAUUUUGUUUUUGAAAACUGUGGUGAGUUCUCACUGCUGUUACUAAUUUCAAUUUUGUUUAACUUUUAAUAGACCCUAAGUGUGAGAUACCAACCAGUGACACCUACAUUCCAAGAGAUGAAAACUUUGGUCAUUUGAAGUCAGGAGACUUUCUUACCUAUGCAAUAAAGUCCUUAACUCAAAAUGUGUUACCUACAUUUCAAAAGGCAUUUGGUUUCAACAAUGAGUUUGAUACCUUUGAAGACGUGCGUGGACUCUUUGAAGGUGGACUUUAUCUCCCCACAGAUGUAAUCAGCAAAAUUAGCCCCAUACCAGUGCUUAAGGAAAUCCUCCGCACUGAUGGUGAGCAAGUCCUCAAGUUUCCACCACCUCACGUCAUCAGAGGUAUUGUGUAUAUGCUUGUUAUUAUAUUACAUAUCUUAAGUAAAAUAAACACUGAGUGCAUGCUAAUUAAUACUUGACUUUGUUUCUGUCAUGUUUAACGUUUCUAUGUUUUCCAAAUGAUUUGGAGCAGUUACUAAGUCCGCAUGGAUGACUGAUGAAGAAUUUGGAAGAGAGAUGCUUGCUGGUGUUAAUCCUUGCCUAAUUCAACGCCUUCAAGUAAGCAGUGCUUUUAUUGUUGGUUUAGUAACUAAGAAGAAAUUUGGUUUCUAUGUUGGAUUAUAUUCAUUGAAUCAUUGUUAAUGCUGUUUAACGAAUGGUAGGAGUUCCCUCCAAAAAGCAAGCUAGAUGUUACGGUGUAUGGUGAUCAAACUAGUACAAUGACCAAAGAACACUUGGAGAUCAACCUUGGUGGACUCACUGUGGAAGAGGUGAGUGAUACAAAUAUCAUAACAAAGUGACACAUCAAUACCAAAUUAAUCAUGACACUAAAUGAUCAUGUCAUGAUUAUAUUUUUGUGCAACAGGCACUGCAUGGUAACAGAUUGUUCAUAUUAGAUCAUCAUGAUGCAUUCAUACCAUAUUUGGAAAGGAUCAAUGACCUUCCCACUGCAAAGUGUUAUGCCACAAGAACUAUCCUUUUCUUGAAAGAUGACAACACUUUGAAGCCACUAGCCAUUGAAUUAAGUUUGCCAAAUCCUGGGGGAAAGGGUGCCAAUAGUAGAGUAAUCUUGCCUGCAGAUGAAGGUGCUGAAAGCACAAUUUGGCUACUUGCAAAGGCUUAUGUUGUUGUAAAUGACUCCUGCUACCAUCAACUCAUGAGCCAUUGGUAUUAAAAAAUUUGCCUCUGUCAUCACACAAAAACUUAUCUAUUUUGAAUUUGAGAAGUGAUUUUUUAUUUGUUCGUGAUCUCAGGUUGAAUACUCAUGCCGUAAUGGAACCGUUUGUGAUAGCAACAAACAGACAUUUGAGUGUGCUCCACCCUAUUUAUAAACUUCUGUUGCCUCAUUAUCGUGACACUAUGAAUAUCAAUGCACUUGCACGACAGUCGCUUAUCAAUGCAGGUGGUGUCAUUGAGCGAUCAUUUUUGCCAGGCGAAUUCGCUGUAGAGAUGUCCUCAGCAGUUUACAAGAGUUGGGUUUUCACUGAUCAAGCCCUUCCAGCAGAUCUUAUCAAGAGGUAAUGUUUAUACACAUAGAUUGCUAUAUACAAUUUUCAAGUUAGAAUUUUCAUUUUUGAUACCAAAGUCCUUUGUAUUAUUCACCCUUGAUUCAGAGGAAUGGCAGUUGAGGAUCCAUCCUCUCCAUAUGGCCUUCGCCUUGUGGUAGAGGACUACCCUUAUGCUGUUGAUGGACUAGAAAUAUGGGAUACUAUUCAGACCUGGGUUAAAGACUAUGUCUCCUUGUACUAUCCCACAAAUGAUGCAGUUAAGAAAGACACUGAACUCCAAGCUUGGUGGAAAGAAGCUGUUGAGAAAGGUCACGGUGACUUGAAAGAUAAGCCAUGGUGGCCAAAGUUGAACACUCCUCAAGAUCUGAUUCACACUUGCUCCAUUAUUAUAUGGAUUGCUUCAGCUCUUCAUGCAGCUGUGAAUUUUGGACAAUAUCCUUACGGUGGUUUCAUCCUAAAUCGUCCAACUAUAACCAGAAGAUUGCUGCCUGAACCAGGAACCAAAGAAUAUGGUGAGCUCACCAGCAAUUAUCAAAAGGCUUAUUUGAGAACAAUUACAGGGAAGGUUGAGGCCAUUGUGGACCUUUCAGUGAUAGAGAUAUUGUCAAGACAUGCUUCUGAUGAGGUCUAUCUUGGACAGAGGGACAAUCCAAAUUGGACUAAUAACAUAAAAGCACUUCAAGCAUUUAAGAGGUUUGGACAAAAGCUGAAGGAAAUUGAAGAAAAAAUCAUGGGGAGGAACAAAGAUUCAAGUCUUAGAAACCGUAAUGGACCAGUUCAGAUGCCCUACACUGUGCUUCUUCCUACCUGUGAAGAUGAAGGCCUCACUUUUAGAGGAAUUCCCAACAGCAUCUCAAUCUAAUGAGUUUCUCUACGUGUUGUUCUCUUUGCAAUCCUACCUUUUUAAUCACAAAUAAAUAUGCAGGCUUAUCCACCUAUGCAUAACUGUCUUCUAUAUCUAUGCUUAAGUGUUGUAUGUGGAUUUUAUCUAGUUUUCGUAUUUAGUACUAUGUUAUCAUUUAGUUACUAUCAUGUUGUGAAGUUUGAUAUCCGACCUAUGAAUAUCAAAUAUAAUAUAACUGGGGUUUUCAAGUGGAGCUGUUACAUAUCAUGACUUUGAAUUGGUACCUAAAUGAGUCCCAUAAAACUUUUCUAUCCUACCAUUACAAGAAUAAGAUUAGUGUUUUUUCAUUAUUACUGCAUGAACAGUCAUGCAGGAGUACAGAUAAAUAUGUUUUGAAAAAUUGAAUUGCCCCAUAUCAAAUACAAUUUUACCUGUGCUCAGAUUACUGCUAUUUUAGAGUUGAUCUUACGUUUGGAAAAUGAUACUUUUUUUUUAUGUUUUAACGAUCUACACAUUGGCUAAUUAAUUGGUGUGUUUUUCCACCAAACAUGUUCAUCUUAAUCUUUGAGUUUAUCAUUGGAUUGAUCAUAUCUAGUGUGAGUAUAUGUGGUCAAGUCCAAUCAUGUGGUGAAACUAUUUUAAUGUCGAUCUUUAGAGUUAACGAAAAAAUCUCAUUUAUUUCUCAUUAAGACGGGUGUUAAUUAUGAAGAUUGACUAUAUAUAUAUAUAUGCGGAAUUGUAAUUAAUUUGGGAAUAUAGUUCAAAAUAAGACUAAAUACAAGGAGAAGGGAUGAAGACUUUUUUAACUCAUAUUUUACACUAUACUCAAUAUAUUUUGAUACUCUUACUGACUUAGCGAGCAUCAGAAUAUUUUCUACAAGUAGAAUCCCCUCAUUUUCUUAGAGUCAAUUCAUGAAACUUGCAAGGAUAUCAUCCGGUAACCAUCUCAGAGUUUAAUCGACCUCAGCUACUGGUUGAGAGAUAUCCAUUUUCACUAGAACAAUUAGUAUAUUUUAUUAAAUUAAAAACACCUCAUUAUUAUUAUUAUACUUUUAAAAUUAAUACUUAUUAUUAUUCCUUUAAAAUUAAUAUUUAUUAUUAUUUAAAAAUUAAUACUUAUUAUUAUUAUUACUUUAAAAUUAAUAUUUUAUUAUUAAUAUUGUUAUUGUUAUUUUUCCUUUAAGUCUUAAAAAAAUAUUUAUAAAUAAUAUAAUUAUAAUACAUUGUGUCUAAAAAAUAUUACCAUAUAAAUAUUUAGAUAUUGCAUUUUGAAUUGAAAGUGAUGAGAUAAUACAUUGAUUCACGAUUCACGAUUUAUUGGUACUGAAAACUCAACAUUGACUUAGAACUGAAAGGAGUGUACCAAUAUGAAAGGAGUGUACCAAUACAUAAGAGACUCAUAUUAAAGAAAUAUUGUUAGAAAUUCAUAAGUUUUAAUCACACAUUUAAUAGAAUAAAAAAAUUGAACAACAUAUAAAGAAAGAGAUUGACAAACAUAUUGUUUUUAAAAAAUUUAUUAACCCUAAACCCUAAACAUCUUAUUGAGUUGACAUCCUUGGUUUAGCAUGUCUCUUUCGUAUGUAUUCCUCUAAAAAAUUUAAUAAUUAUAAGAUAAUUUUUUCUAUUCAUAUAAUUUUGUUUUACAAAAAUAACUAUUUUACAUCAAUCUUAAAUAACUCCAUCUUCUCAAAAUAGUUUCUUUUCAAAGUAGUGUGUGCCUUCUCAAAUAAAUUUCCAAAUAUACUUUAUUAAUUUAAAUGUCUCCAUUUUUACUUUUCCCUUUGUUAUUCUAAAAUCAUCUGCAAACACAAAAGUGGAGUCAAACCAAAUCAUCUGUUUAAAACCAAAACUGUAACUAUAUAUUAUUUUUAGUGAAUAUAAAUUGUAAAUUGGUAUGAAGAAGCUAAAUAGGAUAUGGACUUAAGACACCAUUUUCAACCAAAAAAUUUUAAAUAAUGUUAUUUACUUACUCAUUUAUGCCCUAUGACAGUUUGAUCUGAUUUCAAGUCUUAACCAGACAAGAAACAAUGACGACAAGACACAAAGAGCUUUAAGAAAGGAGGAAGUGGGACAUGGUAGUGAUUUGGAGGGAUAAGGUUGGUGCUGUAAAACAGACACAUGUUCUGUUUAACAAAAAAAUAUUAUAGCUUAGAAGAUAUGGGUGAUGAUAGAGUAGUUGGAUGAGUGUGUGUGCGACACACUGCAUGUGACACGGUCCCACACUUUAUCUUCUGAUUUGAUUUCUGCAGUUAAAGCUGUGUGCAGCGAAUCGACUUCAUCAUCUUUUGUCGUUAUUCGUUGCCAUUUUCACACGCGCAUAAUGCAUUUCAAAGCUCCAUUGGAUAAUUCUAGAGGAAUUUCCCCACAAUUUCUUUUCCAUCAAUGUGUAAGUAAUGCUAUAUUUACUUUAACUGGCUUAAAUUAAAUAAAAAACAAUUUUUUAAAAAUAAAAAAUAAUUAAUUACUAUAUUAAAUAAAUUAAAUACUACUUUAAAAAUUCAAAAAAUUAUUAGUAUCUAAAUUAAUUUUUAUUAUUGAUAAAUAAUUUAUAAAUUUAGAUUUUAAAAUUGGUAGUUAUUCUAAUACAUAAUAAUUUCCCAUCAUUAAGGAGUCGAGAGAUCAAAAUCAUUUUAUAUAUACUUUAUCACUUAAUCCAUUGAGACACUGUUCUUAACGGACAAUACUAGAUCAGAAUGAUCGUUGAUUAAAUACUAAUUUAAAAACUAUUUAUCAGUAAUAUAAAUUAAUUUAGAUACUAAUAUUUUUUUAAUUUCUAAAAUAAUAUAUAAUUUAACUAAUAUAAUAAUUAUAAAAUGUUUUUAUUAUAUUUAUCUUACAUUAGAUAUGACUGAUAUUUACGAGACUUUAGAAUAAUUUGAUAUAAAAUAAAAUUUGAGUCUAAUUUAGCUUUAUAAAUUUGAUAUUUAAGUUGAAAUUUAUACACAUAUUUAUGUACUACAAAAAUAUCUUUAUCUACAAUGAAAUCUCCAACAAUUUAUUGUUAAAAAAUAUUAGUUUUAUUUUCAUAACUUUUAAAAGAUAAAAUUUUCAUUUCUAUUGGUGUAAAGUUAUAUAAAAUGAUUAUUUGUAUUAAAAAAAUAGUUGGUUCUGUCACUGUCAGGUUUGAAACAAAGGAAUCCCAUCGUUGGAAGUAGAGAAACCUCGAGUUCCUCAUGGGCAAUAUAAUAUUAUAUUUUAAUUAGCAAAGAAAAAAAAAAUAAUAAUCUACAUCGUGAUCUUAGGUUUGGUUGUUAAAGAAUCAAAUCAUGUUCAAACAAAGCAUGCUUCUCGAGUGAGAAAGAUAAUCAUAUUUUAUUACGAAAACAGGGAUGGUUUACGUCAACUUAUUCUUUUUUUUAUCAUUUGAUGAUUGUCAAAUAGGAAUUUUUACUACAUUUUAAACUCAAAAUCAUUUUUUUAAAACGAUCACGUAUUCAAAAUACAAUUUACUUAUUUAAAAAAGUAAAAAAAAAACUUAUUUUUAAGAAAAGUAUAUUAAAUGAACACAUAAAAAAUUGAAAGACAUAUCAUCCAAUAAUUUAUCCAUUUUCAGUUGGCUGAUAUUUAAAAAAAAUUAAGUAUAUAAAAUACGAUAUUUAUGUAUUUAAAUAUAAAAAAGAAGAAGUUUUGAAUGAUUAUCAUAUAAGAAAUUAUUAACUAUAAUGAAAAAAAAAACUGUUUAGAACCUUCUUCUGUUGUAAUGGAGUUGCAUUCAAAUUUAUUGUAAUAAGAUUUUCAGAAAGAUAACUUAUUAUUAUUCUAUAAGGAUAAAAUCCCAAAAUUUCAUCUUUUUCUAGUAGCAACUCUAUUUUUUUUUAUAAAUAUUGGGUAACCUAAAGGAUAAUGAAAGUCUAGUUUCAUGAUCUUUAGAAUUUUCUAAUAGUAAUUGAAGCAUUAUUUUACUCUAUUUAAACACAAUAGAGUUAAAUAUAAAGUGAUUUUUAUUUAUUUAUUUUUUAUUAUUGGUAAAAAAUAAUAGGAAAAACUUAAAUUUUAAAUUCUGUUACUAUUCUCAUAAUAUUAGGAAUAUGUUUCCAUAAAUUCAGGACAUAUAUUUUUUAUUAUGAUAUUAAAAAUUAAAAGUGGUACUUACUUUUUAGUUGUAAGGUUUAACAAGAAUAAUCAGCUAAUUUUUUUUUUUAUAAAAGUAAUUCUAUAGUGAAAGGGAAAGUGAAAGUGAAAGUGAAAAAGAAAAGAAAAUAAUGAGACAUAUAUUAUUUUAUUUUUUUGGUGAGUAAGUAUUAUCAUAUAUAAAAUUGUAUUUGUUUGUUUUUGAAAAAAUAUGGGCAGUAACAGUGACACAUUGAAGAUUGUCUAUACCCACAUUUUCAAUUUUGUCCACCAUUUCCCCAUACAUACACUCCUCUUAUUUAAUUUCCUAUUUAUUGGGAUUAUUAAUUAUUAAUUUGGUCUUUUAACAGAGAAUAAGACAAUUUAAAUGAUGUUUUGGAUGAAUUGAAAUAUAUUUUGUUUGUUGAAUGUGUGAUUGUUUUUUCUUAAAAUUGUAAAAUGGUGUUAUUAAACAUGAUGAUAAUGUUCAAGUGUUGUUCACCGCUUAAGCAAUAUUUAAAUGGUGUAUAAAAUAAAUUUUAUUGUUAACUAGUAGUAUUCGAUAAAAAAAAAUGUAGAUGUUAAAGGAAUAAGAAAAUAUUUUAUGUUAGAAGUCUAUAGCUAGAAUAAGAGAGAUUAAAAUAACUUGUUCAAAUGAGGUUAUUCAAGCAACUAUGUCGCCGUUCAAGCAAGAUCCAUGAUAAUGGUGCAUACAUUCACAUCACAAUGUUCAAGUGGUAUCAUGAAAACUCAAAUGUUAGUGAAACAAUGUGUUUUAUGUUAUGAACCUUAUUAGAAGAGGUCCAAUACAUAUAUUAUUCAAGCAUUGUGAGAAUGUUCAAGCGAUAAACUCUCAAGUGAAGAGAAUGUAGUUUGAGUGAAUAAAAGUCUUAACUAAAAUUACUAUCUAGAGGUAUCUCUCCUAAGUAAUAUGAAACUACUUCUUAAUGAGUAAUAUGAAUCAUUGGUGUGAGAUAUAUAUGCCUGAUACAUUCUUAGGUAGUCAUACUUUUAAUGUCAGCGAUCUAACUCCUUUUUCUGUAGGUCUCCAGAAUUCGUGGUCGAAUUCUCUCCAACUCGGGGAGUAUGAUGGAGAUCAAGCCCAAGAGAACAUGGAGGCCACUCAUCAAGCUCAAGAAGAGGUGGNNNNNNNNNNNNNNNNNNNNNNNNNNNNNNNNNNNNNNNNNNNNNNNNNNNNNNNNNNNNNNNNNNNNNNNNNNNNNNNNNNNNNNNNNNNNNNNNNNNNNNNNNNNNNNNNNNNNNNNNNNNNNNNNNNNNNNNNNNNNNNNNNNNNNNNNNNNNNNNNNNNNNNNNNNNNNNNNNNNNNNNNNNNNNNNNNNNNNNNNNNNNNNNNNNNNNNNNNNNNNNNNNNNNNNNNNNNNNNNNNNNNNNNNNNNNNNNNNNNNNNNNNNUCGAUGCAACGUACCUAAUAAUUUAAGCUUUUUCCUUUUAAUACUUAAAAAAAAAAUCCUAAAGAACUUUUAGAUGGGUUUUCCAAAGAUUAAAUCCUACAAAAAUAACAUCCCCUUAUCACCAAUUACUCAAGAUGAAUAGAAAAUAAUAAUAUAUUAUUGAUAGAAAUUGAGUCACUUGUUUAAUUAGUCUAUAUUAUUCCCUAUUUUUCCGCUUUCUCAAGUCUGAAAAAUGAUACCACACCAUAAUAGUCAUAAUUUUUUCUCAUCUUAGAGAUAGUUUAGAAAAAAAGUUUUUUAUUAAAAUAAAUAUUUAACUUUUAUUUAUACACUACCUAUUUCUUGUUAAUUUAAAAUUGCAUCUUAAAAUAAAAUUAAAGGCUUAUACAACACACUAUAACUAAUAUAUUGAACGAGUUUUGUACACUCCAAAGUUCAAUGUUUUUAGUGUUUCAAAAUAUUGCACGUGUUAUAAUAAUACGGUAGCAGACCAUGUUUAUCAUGGCAUUCAUCCACACACUUUGUAGUCACUCGAAAUUUAUUUCUAAUUAUUAUAUUUAUUUUCUCUAGGAUAUCAUUAUUUGAGUGAUUAGAUAUUUUAUGUUUACAUAGAAUUAUAUAAUAACUCAUGGUUGACUCCAGUCAUUAGUAAAAAUUAAUUGAAUUAAAGAAAAGUAUAUUAUUUUGAAAGAAUAUUUAAAUAAAAAGUUUUAAAAACAUUGAAUUUAGUAAAAGAAUUACGAAAUUCUCUUUUUAUAAAUUUUGGUGUUUGAUUUGUUAAUUUUUCCUCACUGCUAGCAAGGUUGAGCUUUUGUGAUAAAGAAUAACUCUAAAUUUUUUUUUUUUGGAGUUUGUAAUAAAUUGGGUUGUAAAUUUUUUUUAAAAGAUAAAAAUAAUUAAUAAAAUAGAGAUAUUUCAUGUAUACCACAACUUUUAUAGAAAACAACUUUAUUGCAGAGUGAAUUUUAAACCUAACUCAACUCCAUAAAAUCAGUUUAAUGAAAUGAGGUUUGCAUCCACUUAUAUACUAUGAAAGACUCUAAUCUCUAGUCGAUGUGGGAUCUCCAACAAACUUACAUCUUAGAUUCUUGCACUAUGAGAAACAUGCAACUUAGACAAACAAAAAAGUCAUUUUUACAAAUCUCUAUAAAAUUGGGAUGUGAGAUAUUAUCUUAUCUCUCUUCUUAAUUCUAAUAUAAGGGUUGAGUCAUCUUUAAAAUAUCUAUAUUUAUUUAUUAUUUUUAAUAAAAAAAAUCUGAUUUUAUACUGUAGUUGUACGUACUAUAGCUGAUUGAUAUAUAUGUGUUUUUUUUAUAUACUAUCUAUUUGAUGAUUCAUAACUCAAACUCUAUUAUUUUUCCAUAUUCUUUCCACCUCAUCAUCAUCCACGAGGGAAAACAGUGCAGGUAAGGUAAUCAUGUAUCACUAUCACCCUUACAAAUGAUCAAGGAAUGGUGAGAGGCCAUAUUGCAAUUUAGCAGAAAAAUAUCAGAAAAUUACUUCAGUAGAGAGAGGUAAUUCAGCAUUGGUUGAAAUGACUUUGUUCUUGGAACACGUGAUAUUGAUCUAUAAAUAGGGUGUUGUGGAGAGGGUAGAAGGCACAAACAAGGCACAAGGCUUUGAAGAAAGAAGAAGAGUGUGUGGUGUUGUGUUUUAUUGGCAAAGAUGUUUGGAAUCCUAGGAGGAGGAAAGGGUCACAAGAUAAAGGGAACAGUGGUGUUGAUGACCAAGAAUGUGUUGGACUUCAACGAAGUAGUGUCCACUGCUGGUGGUGGUGUGCUUGGUAUUGCUGGUGGCAUCUUUGGAACUGCAAACAAAGUAGUCGGAGGAAUAGUUGACGGCGCCACCGCCAUCUUCAGCCGCAACAUUGCCCUACAGUUGGUCAGCGCCACCAAGACUGAUGGUUUGUUUCUUCCUUCUGUUUUCUUCUGCAGUUCAAAAUAACUCUUCUGCUUCUUUCAACAUGUAGUUUAUCAAGAAACUAACAUAGACAUAAACAAUCCAACCACACUUUUUAAAACAACUUCUUAUGUUAGAUUUGAAGAACAGUAAUAAUAUAUUCACAUGUACCAGGUUAUAACUGAUUAAACUGGUGACAGUUGUUAAAGUUACACUUUAGUUUGAAGAUAAUAGUUUCUACAGUUAUUUCUCACUUCUCACUUUCAUCAUUGUUAAACUCUUGAUAAUUAUGACUGUACAAAAUUUUCAUUUCAUAAACAUUCAGUUUAAAGAGUCAUGAUCUCUAUCUGUUUUGGGUAAAUUGAAGUAGAAAAAAUAGAGAUGAACAAGAUAAUAAAAAAAGAGUUAUUUAUUUAUUUAUUUAUGGUGUAAAUCUUUCACGUACUUAAACAUGAUUGUUUAUUAUAUAUUCUCGAUUGCAUGAUUUGGAAAGAGAAUUUUAUCUUUAUUUUUAUUUGAAGUAGUUAGACAACUCCAAAAUAUAAUGAAUAGAAUAAAUGAUACGAUCCAUAAUGAACAUAAUGAUUUGUACAAAACAACAAACUUGUUUUAUUAAAAAGAAUUAUUAGAUCUGAACAUUUAAAAAAUAAAAUUGUUAGUGUUGAUAUUAAAGUAAGUUUAUAUUGAUUUAUAAUAGGAUAUAUUAUAUUAUUAUAAGGUAUUUAUAUAUUAUCAAUACUUAAAAUACUUAUUUACUGUGGACUUUCAGAAUAUAUUUUAAAAGAUGAUAUUCUUUUCAAGGAUUAGACAGUUUUUUUUAUUAGCUUUGAUUAGGGACACUAUCAUGAAGAUAUUUUUAUAAAAUGAAUUAGGAUUUUUUUUUUCUGAAAGAGCAGGGAUAGAGAAAAAAAAUAUUAAUAUUCUUUAAUUUUUUUCUUAUUUUAUAUUAUUUUUAAUUUAACUGAAUAAAAUUGACCCGGAUUGAUAUUUUUCCAUUCUAUUUAUAAUUAUAGUUGAUAUUAUAAUAAAUGUAGCACUUUUUUUUAGACAUAUAAAUACAAACAAAACUACAUUAAGUUCAUAUUUGAAAAAUAAACAUUACAAUAUAUAUAAUAAUAUUGUUUAUUAUAAUAAUUAUUUUAAAAAUGAUAUUAUAGUAUUACUUCUUAUUAAUUAGUUAAUGACAUAAACAUAUUUUAUCCUCUCUUUAUAUAUAAAUUAAAUUCUGUUUUCAAACUCUAUUAUUGUCUGUUUUAAAUUGAAAUGACAGCUUUUCCAAGACAGUGAUAACAGUGAACCUUUGUGUGGAAGAUAAUAGUUCUUUUUACGUGAACACACGAGAGCAGAUUAAGGUUUAGUUUGGAAAGAACAAGAAAAAUGGUUUUGUGGCAUUUAAACAUGUGAAGAAAAGAAGAUAAAGAAAGUGAGAAAAAGAGAGAAGAAAGAGAGGAUUUUUUUAAUAAUUCUUUUAAACUAUGAUUGUGAUUUUUUAACAAUUCAGUGAUGGAUUGUGGAUAAAAAGUAAUUGGGUAAGUAUAAAUUUUUGAAAAGCACUUUUGAAUUUGAAUGCACAAUGAGUAUGAGUUUUCUUUGUAUGUGCUUAUUUUUCAGGGCUUGGAAAUGGAAAGGUUGGAAAGCAAACGUUUUUGGAGAAUCAUCUUCCUUCGUUACCAACCUUGGGAGAUAGGCAAGAUGCAUUCAAUAUUUCUUUUGAAUGGGAUGAGAGUUUUGGAAUUCCAGGAGCAUUCUACAUCAAAAACUUUAUGCAAGCUGAGUUUUUCCUUGUGAGUCUCACUCUUGAAGACAUUCCAAAUCAUGGAACCAUUCACUUUGUGUGCAACUCCUGGGUUUACAACGCAAAAAAUUACAAAAAGGACCGUAUUUUCUUUGUCAACAAGGUAACUAACAUGAAAUUCAAGUACUAUUUUCCUAAACUUUCACAUAAUUUAGCCCAUUUUAAUGAAGAAAUUCAUCAAACAUGUUGCAGACAUAUGUUCCAAGUGAAACUCCAACUCCACUGGUUAAGUACAGAAAAGAAGAAUUGGAAAACCUAAGAGGGGAUGGAACUGGGCAGCGUAAGGUAUCUGAUAGGAUCUAUGAUUAUGAUGUGUAUAAUGAUUUGGGCAACCCAGACAAGAGUGCAGAUCUGGCUCGUCCUGUUCUUGGAGGUUCUAGUGCCUAUCCAUACCCUCGCAGAGGAAGAACUGGGAGAAAAGCAUCAAAAAGAGGUUAGGAUUUAAUUUUUCUAUUUUAGAUAAUCAAUUCCAAUGCAUGGUGAUAAAGUAAUUUGCCUCAAUGAAAUUGUACCUUGAUGUAGAGCUGUACUAUUAUAAGUUAGAUUUUUGUUUUUUGAAAGUGCAAUUACUUAUUAUUAUUAUUAUUAUCAUUAUCAUUAUGAUUGAGGAUACAAAAUUGAUUUUACUUUUAUUAACAGAUCCUAAGAGUGAGGCACCAGCCAGCGACACUUACAUUCCAAGAGAUGAAAAUUUUGGUCACUUGAAGUCAUCAGACUUUCUUACAUAUGGAAUAAAGUCCUUGGCUCAAAGUGUCUUACCUCAAUUUCAAUCUGCAUUUGGUUUAAAUGCUGAGUUUGAUAAGUUUGAUGACGUUCGUGGAUUCUUUGAAGGUGGAAUUCAUCUUCCUACAGACGUAAUAAGCAACAUUAGCCCCUUACCAGUGAUAAAGGAAAUCUUCCGCACUGAUGGUGAACAAGUCCUCAAGUUUCCACCACCUCAUGUCAUCCAAGGUAUUGUUUGCUUACAAGUCACAUAUAUAUCUCAAGUAAAAUCAACUGAAAUUACUUCACAUCCAAUAUUUAUCAUAUUUAACAUUUACAUGUUUUUCAUAUUAUUUGGAGCAGUUAGUAAGUCUGCAUGGAUGACUGAUGAAGAAUUUGGAAGAGAGAUGCUUGCUGGUGUUAAUCCUUGCCUAAUUCAACGCCUUCAAGUAAAUAAUGCUUUAUUGUUCAUUAAAUUGGAAUGAUUUGGUUUUCAUUUGAAUUAUAUUCGUUGUUUCUCAUGUUAAUUUACUGGCAAUGUUAUUUAAUGAAUGACAGGAGUUCCCUCCAAAGAGCAAGCUAGAUGCUUCUGUGUAUGGUGAUCAAACUAGCACAAUUACUAAAGAAAAUUUGGAGAUCAACCUUGGUGGACUCACUGUGGAAGAGGUGAAUGAUAUUUAUUAAUUCCAUGGCAAAAUGAUACAUGAAUCUCCAUUUAACCAUGACACUGAAUGUUUAUAAUGAUAUUUGUUCAACAGGCAUUGAAUGGUAACAAACUGUUCAUAUUAGAUCACCAUGAUGCAUUCCUACCAUAUCUGAGGAAGAUCAAUGACCUACCCACCGCAAAGUCUUAUGCCACAAGGACAAUCCUUUUCUUGAAAGAUGAUGGCACAUUGAAGCCAUUGGCUAUUGAAUUAAGUCUUCCACAUCCUAGGGGAGAUGAGUUUGGUGCUGUUAGCAGAGUUAUCUUGCCUGCAGACCAAGGCGCUGAAAGCACAAUUUGGCUAUUGGCUAAGGCUUAUGUUGUAGUAAAUGACUCUUGCUAUCAUCAACUCAUGAGCCACUGGUAUGCAUAAACUCUCCCAUUUGUCAUCACUUAUCAUAAACCAACUAUUAAGUGAUUCUUAAUUUAUUUGGUUUGCCAUAUCAUUUGAUCACAGGCUAAAUACCCAUGCCACAAUUGAGCCCUUUGUCAUAGCAACAAAUAGGCAUCUCAGUGUGCUCCACCCUAUAUACAAACUCUUGUCGCCUCACUAUCGUGACACCAUGAAUAUCAAUGGACUUGCACGACAAUCACUCAUCAAUGCAGGUGGUAUUAUUGAGCAAUCAUUUUUGCCCGGGCCAUUCUCUGUGGAGAUGUCUUCAGCAGUUUACAAAAGUUGGGUUUUCACUGAUCAGGCUCUUCCUGCUGAUCUUAUUAAGAGGUAAUAUUUAUGCAUUACUGUAAAAAUUUUCAAGUUAAAAUUGUUCAUUUAUUUCAUACCAACAUUGUGUGUCCUUUUAAUCUAUUUUCUGAAGAAACUUUAGUAAAUAUUAAAAGAUCUUGAUUUUUAUACAUUGUCAAUGUAAACCCAUUAUAAAUAACGUCAAGUAUUAUUUUAUGGUAUUGUGGUAGAAACUAACCAACUUAUCAUAAAUACAAUAUGUUAUUGGAUUAACAUAUAAAAGUCUUUUACUCUUUGUGCAUUAUGUAUAUUUUAUAUUUAAAAUGUUAAAAGCGAGUAUUGCCUUGUGGAAGUUAAAGACUGAUGAGAUAGUCAAAAUUCAUUUCAAUGAUAUUAUUUACUUAAGUAAAAUUGUUUUUUAUCUAAAAAAUGAAAGAGAAAUUUGGUGUUAACAACAAGUCCUUUGUUAUCUCCUUGAUUCAGAGGAAUGGCAAUUGAGGAUCCAUCCUCUCCACAUGGCCUUCGUCUAGUGAUUGAUGACUACCCUUAUGCUGUCGAUGGACUAGAGAUAUGGAGUGCUAUCCAGUCCUGGGUUAAAGACUAUGUCUCAUUGUACUAUGCCACAGAUGAUGCAAUUAAGAAAGACACAGAACUCCAAACUUGGUGGAAGGAAGCUGUUGAGAAGGGUCAUGGUGACUUGAAAGACAAACCAUGGUGGCCAAAGUUGAACACUCCUCAAAAUCUGAUUCACAUUUGCAGCAUUAUAAUAUGGACUGCUUCAGCUCUCCAUGCAGCUGUUAAUUUUGGACAAUACCCUUAUGGAGGUUACAUCCUAAACCGUCCAACUCUAACCAGAAGAUUGAUCCCAGAGCCAGGAACCAAAGAAUAUGAUGAGCUGAGCAGCAAUCAUCAAAAGGCUUAUCUGAGAACAAUUACAGGAAAAUAUGAGGCCAUUGUGGACCUUUCUGUGAUAGAGAUAUUGUCAAGACAUGCUUCUGAUGAGGUCUAUCUUGGACAGAGGGACAAUCCUAAUUGGACCGAUGAUACAAAGGCUCUUCAAGCCUUUCAAAAGUUUGGAAACAAACUGAAGGAAAUUGAGAAUAAGAUCUUAGGAAGGAACAACAAUUCAAGUCUCAGAAACCGUGUUGGGCCAGUUAAGAUGCCCUACACUGUGCUUCUUCCUACCAGUAAGGAAGGUCUCACUUUCAGAGGAAUCCCCAACAGCAUCUCUAUUUAAGGAGUCUACCUGUGUGGUUUAAUGUCUGUCCUACUUUAUCGCUCAAUACCAAAUAAUUAUGUUUGCUUGUCUCUGCAUAAUUGUCGGGUGUAUGCUUAAGUAAUGUAUGGGGAUCUUACAUGGUUCUCCUUUUAAUAAGAGUGGUAUCAUUUUGUGUUAAGUAUUGGGUUAUAUAAGUCUGAUAUCUCGGAUUUUGAAUAUCAAAUCAAAUUUCUCUCUGCCAUAUACAUUUUUAACAUAAACCUGUUGCAUGACUUUGAUUUGGGUA
rnacentral:lncRNA from 1 species